AGCUUGACACAGUUCCUGGUGGAGGCAGUGUCCAUUCUAGCUCACCAUCACCGAGAGGCAGUGAUCUCCAGCCUCCUCAGCAAACGUCUGCCGAUGGACAGUGACACCAUUGAGCUGUGGAGAUCUCUGGGGGGAGACCCCUUGCUUGCCACUCAAGUCCUAUAACUCCUAAUAGACAAGAUAAAGACUCCAACAAGAAAAGAAGGCAGCAUCAGCUCAGAGACUGAAAUUGACAGGCAUUUGGCAGCUGCUGAACCUCUCUCAGCUUUCUAUCAAAGGAUUAGAGUCUGUGCUUUUCAAGGGUGGGAAUGAGAGACUGGUGAGAGCGCUCAGGAAGCAGAGAACAUGGAUUCUUCUGGAAAACCCAAGACUCACCAUGAGGGAGUGUGUCUGCUGGUGAGUCUUCUGCUAAGAUCUGGACUCCUAACACCUGAGAUCAUACAGAGCCUCCUCCCCUGGGUGAAUUCCCCCACAGAAAACCCCAGAGUCACCAGCACAGCUUUCCUUGCCC